GGGGCAGCAUUCAAAGCUUGCUUUGAUGAUGGCGACCGGCGCACGGGUGAGUAACACGUAUCCACCUGCCGACAACACUGGGAUAGCCUUUCGAAAGAAAGAUUAAUACCGGAUGGCCCCGCAUGGGUAAAGAAUUUCGGUUGUCGAUGGGGAUGCGUUCCAUUAGGCAGUUGGCGGGGUAACGGCCCACCAAACCUACGAUGGAUAGGGGUUCUGAGAGGAAGGUCCCCCACAUUGGAACUGAGACACGGUCCAAACUCUACGGGAGGCAGCAGUGAGGAAUAUUGGUCAAUGGACGAGAGUCUGAACCAGCCAAGUAGCGUGAAGGAUGACUGCCUAUGGGUUGUAAACUUCUUUUAUACGGGAAUAAGUGAGCCACGUGUGGUUUUUUGUAUGUACCGUAUGAAUA
rnacentral:rRNA from 1 species